GACAGAGGGUGCAAGCGUUGUUCGGAAUUACUGGGCGUAAAGGGCGCGUAGGCGGUCCGCUAAGUCCGGUGUGAAAUCCCCUGGCUCAACUGGGGAACUGCGCCGGAAACUGGCAGACUCGAGUACCGGAGAGGAGGGUGGAAUUCCUGGUGUAGCGGUGAAAUGUGUAGAGAUCGGGAGGAACACCGGUGGCGAAGGCGGGCCUCUGGGCAAUUCCUGACGCUGAGGCGCGAAAGCGUGGGGAGCAAACGGG
rnacentral:rRNA from 1 species